GAUGAACGCUGGCGGCGUGCCUAAUACAUGCAAGUCGAGCGAACGGACGAGAAGCUUGCUUCUCUGAUGUUAGCGGCGGACGGGUGAGUAACACGUGGAUAACCUACCUAUAAGACUGGGAUAACUUCGGGAAACCGGAGCUAAUACCGGAUGAUAUUUUGCACCGCAUGGUUCAAAAGUGAAAGACGGUCUUGCUGUCACUUAUAGAUGGAUCCGCGCUGCAUUAGCUAGUUGGUAAGUUAACGGCUUACCAAGGCAACGAUGCAUAGCCGACCUGAGAGGGUGAUCGGCCACACUGGAACUGAGCCACGGUCCAGACUCCUACGGGAGGCAGCAGUAGGGAAUCUUCCGCAAUGGGCGAAAGCCUGACGGAGCAACGCCGCGUGAGUGAUGAAGGUCUUCGGAUCGUAAAACUCUGUUAUUAGGGAAGAACAUAUGUGUAAGUAACUGUGCACAUCUUGACGGUACCUAAUCAGAAAGCCACGGCUAACUACGUG
rnacentral:rRNA from 1 species